rnacentral:rRNA from 1 species
GUACAAGCAGUAGGAGCCCACUUGUUGGGUGACUGCGUACCUUUUGUAUAAUGGGUCAGCGACUUAAUUUUAGUAGCAAGGUUAACCGUUUAGGGGAGCCGUAGGGAAACCGAGUCUUAACUGGGCGAAUUAGUUGCUAGGAUUAGACCCGAAACCGAGUGAUCUAGCCAUGGGCAGGUUGAAGGUGAGGUAACACUUACUGGAGGACCGAACCGACUAAUGUUGAAAAAUUAGCGGAUGACUUGUGGCUAGGGGUGAAAGGCCAAUCAAACUCGGAGAUAGCUGGUUCUCCCCGAAAGCUAUUUAGGUAGCGCCUCGGACGAAUACUACUGGGGGUAGAGCACUGUUAAGGCUAGGGGGUCAUCCCGACUUACCAACCCUUUGCAAACUCCGAAUACCAGUAAGUAAUAUCCGGGAGACACACGGCGGGUGCUAACGUCCGUCGUGAAGAGGGAAACAACCCAGACCGCCAGCUAAGGUCCCAAAGUUAUAGCUAAGUGGGAAACGAUGUGGGAAGGCUCAGACAGCCAGGAUGUUGGCUUAGAAGCAGCCAUCAUUUAAAGAAAGCGUAAUAGCUCACUGGUCGAGUCGGCCUGCGCGGAAGAUUUAACGGGGCUAAGCUAUACACCGAAGCUGCGGCAAUGUGAACUUGUUCACAUUGGGUAGGGGAGCGUUCUGUAAGCCGUUGAAGGUGCAUUGUAAAGUGUGCUGGAGGUAUCAGAAGUGCGAAUGCUGACAUGAGUAACGAUAAAGGGAGUGAAAAACUCCCUCGCCGGAAGAUCAAGGGUUCCUGUCCAACGUUAAUCGGGGCAGGGUAAGUCGACCCCUAAGGCGAGGCCGAAAGGCGUAGUCGAUGGGAAACGGGUUAAUAUUCCCGUACUUCUUAUAAUUGCGAUGGAGGGACGGAGAAGGCUAGGUGAGCCUGGCGACGGUUGUCCAGGUCCAAGUAUGUAGGCUGAUGGUUUAGGCAAAUCCGGACCAUCUUAAGGCUGAGAUACGAUGUCGAGCUACUACGGUAGUGAAGUCAUUGAUGCCAUGCUUCCGGGAAAAGCUUCUAAGCUUCAGAUUAUAAGAAAUCGUACCCCAAACCGACACAGGUGAUCAGGUAGAGAAUACCAAGGCGCUUGAGAGAACUCGGGUGAAGGAACUAGGCAAAAUGGUACCGUAACUUCGGGAGAAGGUACGCUC